UUACACAAAUAUGAAGGCGGGCUGGAACCUCUCGGGGUUACAGCCUUGCUGAAUUAUUCACCCUUGUCUUUUGCGUACUUCUUGUUUCCUUGGUGGGUUCGCCCACCACUAGGACAAACAUAAACCUUUUGUAAUUGCAAUCAGCGUCAGUAACAAAUUAAUAAUUACAACUUUCAACAACGGAUCUCUUGGUUCUGGCAUCGAUGAAGAACGCAGCGAAAUGCGAUAAGUAGUGUGAAUUGCAGAAUUCAGUGAAUCAUCGAAUCUUUGAACGCACAUUGCGCCCUUUGGUAUUCCAAAGGGCAUGCCUGUUCGAGCGUCAUUUGUACCCUCAAGCUUUGCUUGGUGUUGGGCGUCUUGUCUCUAGCUUUGCUGGAGACUCGCCUUAAAGUAAUUGGCAGCCGGCCUACUGGUUUCGGAGCGCAGCACAAGUCGCACUCUCUAUCAGCAAAGGUCUAGCAUCCAUUAAGCCUUUUUUUCAACUUUUGACCUCGGAUCAGGUAGGGAUACCCGCUGAACUUAAGCAUAUCAAUAAGCGGAGGAAAAGAAACCAACAGGGAUUGCCCUAGUAACGGCGAGUGAAGCGGCAACAGCUCAAAUUUGAAAUCUGGCUCUUUUAGAGUCCGAGUUGUAAUUUGCAGAGGGCGCUUUGGCUUUGGCAGCGGUCCAAGUUCCUUGGAACAGGACGUCACAGAGGGUGAGAAUCCCGUACGUGGUCGCUGGCUA
rnacentral:rRNA from 1 species